ACGGGAUACUUUGGAUUCGAAAACUAUAUUCCCGCCCAGGAUUCUUCUCGUCUCUUCUUCAACGGCUGUUUUUAGAAGUCCUCCAAUCCACCAUCAGCGAGACCGAACUCCUCCAGUCCAGCUACAGAUAAGCUGCUGACCCAUUUCAGAGGAGGAACAUUGGCCAUGACCCAAAAGGACCACUAAAUCCUCAACUUUUUCUUGACACUUCUGCGGUGAGAAAAAUUCCCUAACACGCCAUGCCACCAAGCAGGAGGCAAACGGUCAUAUCCAGAGAUGGCUUCAGCUUGCUCCGGAUAGGGAUGGAGGAAGAAGAGAACGGCUGAAGAGAAAGGAGAUGAUAAAUAGCUGUGCCUCUCAUUUAGAGCCUCAAUAGCUUAUGCGUGCG